CCAUCUUGAAAGUCUACUGUGUUUUGUUUACAAACAAAACACAAUACGUUUUUUAUAACCAAAUUGCCAUGCGAUACGGCCAUUUACAUUACAGACGUCUCUUCAUUGAAAACGAAUGAUUUCAAUAGAUCUUGUUGAUCUUUUUUUUUGUUUAAUCGGGCUUUUUCAACGCAUGAAGACACAAGCACGGAUAAAAAAGCAGAUUCGUUGGAAAUUGGAGAUAUAAUCCCGGUUGAAGCAUCUUCACAUUCGUUUUUAGACCCGGUCCCACAACGAGUGGUGCAUUCUUUUGGAGCUUCUACAUAUCUACAAUAUCUCCCGUAACGGCUCGUGAUCUGCGUUUUUUAACGGAAUGUUUUAGAUGGACUAUUACUCCGGCACUUCCACCCUCAGUGGCCAGUGGCAUCCCAGAAAGACGGGUGUCGCGUCCCUGUACUGAGCCCAAAUCAUACGCUGAAACGCUAGAUAGUGUUGCUACCAGCUAAAGCUAAUGAUCGUUCGUUCAAUGGUGCUGCUGCUGCAGCUGCUACUGCCACUCCAGCCACAGUACUGUCCAAAUAUGAGGAUGACCAGUGUAUCGUACCAAAAAUUGACAGUCGCAGAAAAUUUUGAAACGGGAACAAGGUUUGAAGAAUCUUCAGGGAGAACUUCGCAACGAAGAAACUAUGUUGAUGUUAUUGAAGAAGUUGAAACAGUCUCAACACGUAAUGAUUAUGGAAAAUUGCAUCGUGACUUCAAGUAAUACAAACAUGAACAACCCUCGAGCUUCGAUACCAGUCCCCUAACGAAAGGGUUACUCAGUGCGGUCGCAUUUCCAGCUCAUUCGAAAAACAUAAUUCAUGGGUCACCUAUCAAUAUCGCGAAACCGCUUCAACGUUUACUUUUACUCCCGGGAGGUACUUAUUAUACUGCGACAUAUGUUACCUAUAGGAGCAAUCCGAACAGGGUCCAAUCUAAUCAUCACACCGUCAGUGACGAUAACUCCUACGAGCGCACCUUCGAAUAGUGUAAAACUCAAAGCUGGAGAAAACCUUGCUAUAGAUCCCACCGCUCAAACCCAAAAUGCACUUCAUUCCGAAUGGAUGCCACCGGAGGUGGCUGUUGGAUGAUAUACAAUGAUUCCGUGGAUCAGGCAAUGAGCUAUUUUAGAAGGGAACAAUACGACGUGCUUAUAGAAGAUUACUAUAAUAUGCUUUCCCCGGAGUUCCUUCCAGCUGUGGGGACAGAAGGUGGAUGUCGUCUUUUGCACAUCAAUUACAAUUUGUCGUUCGGAUUCUGUUUCUCCUUGCGGCACGAACACAUAUAUAUUUUGGUUCAACAACACAUGGUUCUAAAGGACAUCCGUGCAAGAACAUGCAAAGCAGGGAUUGUUAUAGUGAUACACUUUCUCAUUGGGAAGAGAAAUUCUGUGAGUGCGCGUGCGAGUGUGGUUGUAACGAGCGCGCACCGAUGAAGGGGCAAUCUUUUUUUUACGCGAUUCUCUUGAAAUUACGCAAUAUUUUCACGCAUUUUUUGUGAGCACAUCAGUUGCGUGAAAAAUAAUUCAGUUUACUUAUUAUUAUCAUCCUUCACUUACUAGAAGUGAUACUGAUAGCAACUGCAUGUGUAAUUACUGGAAAGGUUUGCCGACCAACAGACCUAUUAGUAAACUUGAGGUAUGGAAAGUAUCGUGUUUGGGCAUUGUGUACUUCGAGUUUGGUGUCGAUUUACCACCGCUCGUGCAGAAGCGACCAAGGUUACAGUAAAACCUUCCGGAGUAAAAGGUUCAUUGCACUGAUUCACAACAUCGUAUAUAACAAUGAACAAAUGUUGAUGGUUUAGAAAGGAUACCAAGAAGGAUAAGCUAUGCUCUUGAGUAACAUUGAAUAUGCUGAUGUGUAUGAACAUCCGGAUGAGGACGUUGAGGACCGGCAAAUGUUUUCCGAUACGGUUGAGAUGCGAGCGGGAAGAAUUAUUGCAGAAUUUAUUAGAAAAUUAAUUUGCUAUUUCGCAAAACCGAUGGGUCGGAAUAAGGUGAUCGAUGUAAAGUUCAGCGGGGAUGAUAGUGAAGAGAAAAAUCUAUAGACCAGAAAAAAGAGUUAAUGAAAAAAAUGUUCAUUUAAGUACGUUAAACGUUUUUAAUUCGAGCAGUAACGACACUGCUUUGCUCAUUGAUAAAUAAUUGACCUGCUAUUUGGAUGAAUAAGUGUGAACAUACUAUUUCGUAAAUUUAUAUGUACAUAUUUAAUAGAAUUAUGUAUUUAAAAAGAAAACUUUAAACUUUUUUUAUAUAAACAUUUAUGUAUUUCAGUAUUUUGCGGAAAAUCGGAACAAUUAUCUGAAUAAAUAUUGAUCGUGCUGAUCUGAAUAUUCAUUUUC